rnacentral:rRNA from 1 species
GACGAACGCUGGCGGCGUGCCUAAUACAUGCAAGUUGAGCGCUGAAGGUUGGUACUUGUACCAACUGGAUGAGCAGCGAACGGGUGAGUAACGCGUGGGGAAUCUGCCUUUGAGCGGGGGACAACAUUUGGAAACGAAUGCUAAUACCGCAUAAAAACUUUAAACACAAGUUUUAAGUGUGAAAGACGCAAUUGCAUCACUCAAAGAAGAUCUCGCGUUGUAUUAGCUAGUUGGUGAGGUAAAGGCUCACCAAGGCGAUGUUACAUAGCCGACCUGAGAGGGUGCUCAGCCGAAAUGGGACUGGAACACGGCCCAAAAUCCUACGGCAGGCAGCAGUAGGGAAUCUUCGGCAAAGGACGGAAGUCUCACCGCGCGACGCCGCGUGCAGGCAGAAGGUUUUCGGAUCGUAACACUCUGUUGGUAGAGAAGCACGUUGGUGCGAGUGGAAAGCACAUCAAGUGACGGUAACUACCCAGAAAGGGACGGCUAACUACGUG